UUUUUCGACCAUCUCGUCUUCGAGCUUUACGC
rnacentral:scRNA from 1 species